rnacentral:rRNA from 1 species
CUGCCCUACGGGGGGCAGCAGUGAGGAAUAUUGGUCAAUGGGAGAGAUCCUGAACCAGCCAAGCCGCGUGAGGGGAGACGGCCCUAUGGGUUGUAAACCUCUUUUGUCGGAGAACAAAACCCGGGACGUGUCCCGGACUGCGUGUAUCCGAAGAAAAAGCAUCGGCUAACUCCGUGCCAGCAGCCGCGGUAAUACGGAGGAUGCGAGCGUUAUCCGGAUUUAUUGGGUUUAAAGGGUGCGUAGGCGGUCCGUUAAGUCAGCGGUAAAAUUGCGGGGCUCAACCCGGGCCGGCCGUUGAAACUGGG